CGGGAGCGACUUAGCGGCGGACGGGUGAGUAACGCGUGGGUAACCUGCCCCAUACCGGGGGAUAACGGUUAGAAAUGACCGCUAAUACCGCUUAAGCGCACGAGGCCGCAUGGCCGCGCGCGAAAAACUCCGGUGGUAUGGGAUGGGCCCGCGUCUGAUUAGCUAGUUGGCGGGGUAAAGCCCACCAAGGCGACGAUCAGUAGCCGACCUGAGAGGGUGGCCGGCCACAUUGGGACUGAGACACGGCCCAAACUCCUACGGAAGGCAGCAG
rnacentral:rRNA from 1 species